rnacentral:lncRNA from 1 species
UUAUUUAAAAAAUUAUAUUAAACGGAGCCUUACCCUCCUGAAUCGCGAUACCAUAACUGAUACCAUAACUAUUUUGAAGAAAUGGAAGAAUGGAAAGAAUUGAAAAGACAAAAUCGCGUUGUAAAAGAGGACGUGGAUCAACGUACUGAGGCCACUAAUGACAAAUAGCUACACAUUUUGAAGUAGACUCCCAGCGUCUACCAAACCUAAACAGGUACAGAGACCUUUUGUUUUGUUUUUGACAAUAUGUGCAGAUACGUACGAAUGCAUUAAUUAAUGAAAAGCAGAGGGUAGAAGAAAACAAAGCUAAGUCGCCAGACACGUUGCAGAAGGGAUUCUGGAAUGCAUGAAUUAAGGGGUCUUAAGUAUUCAAUAGUGACUUCUUUUUUGUGUUUUUCCAUAAGAAGAUGCCGGAAUGCAUUAAUUAAGAGGCCCACUGUGAUUAAUUCAUAACUACCAGUAAUUUGUUUUUUUUUUACAAUAGGUACAGUUACGUAUGACUGAAGAAAUAAAAAAAAAAUGAAAAGCAGAGGGUAGAAGAAAACAAAGCUAAUUCCAUUGGCUUCGUGUUGCAGCUCUGUAACAGAUUGUCAAAUCGAUAAUGAAAUUUCUUUCUCCAUUUUUCACGUGCACAGCCAUAAAAAAAGAAAAAAAAAUCACAAUUGUAUGUAUAUGCUAAUGGGUCCCUUUUCGAAUUUGACAAGAGGAUUUUAAUUUCUUGUGGAAUUUAUGUUACUUCAAAUUAUUUUAUUAAAAUUAGGAAUGGCAAUGGAGAGCGGAGAGGAGGGGAUCAAUUUCUUUGUAUAUAUUCUCGAUAUUUUGCGUAUGUCCCCGUCUCCUUUCUAUUUCCGUCAUAAUUACUUGAGAGAAUUUUCUUUUCCUCCCCGAAUAAUAACAGGGAAUCUCUGAGGAUCCUUGAUCCCCAAAUAACUAAUACAUAUUUUUUUUAUUUUUAAUUUUGAGUUAAUUACAUUAAAAUAAAAAAUUCAAACAAAAGUAAAGUUCGAAAUAUAUUUUACAUUAACAUUGAUCCAUUAUAAAAGUCUCAUGCAAAAUACAAAUUAUCAAAAUAAUUAUCUUUGUCAAUCUUCAUAAUCCUACAAUAAAAAAAAAGAAUUUACUUUUAUAUCGACAAUAAAAUAAAUAAAAUAAAUGUAGAUACUUAAUUAAUAUUUUUAAUAAAACAAAAUUUUUGGGCUAAUAGAAUCUACCCGACCUUUUUAAUGUCCUAAAUAAAAAUUUAAAACUUUAAUUAAUUAAUUAGACCUAAAAGUUUAAUAAUAUAAAUAUUUUAAUAUUUGUUACUUUUACCAAUAUUUAUAAUUUUAUAAUAUAAUUCAAAAUUUAUUAUUUAUUUACUAGUAAUUUUAAAAAAUAAAAAUUAAAUUAAAAAUUAAAAUAGGGAAAUGGGGAGGGGAUGGGGAUUCCACCUCAUCCCCGCCCCUUCCCCAAAUAAGAAAUUAGAUAAAAACAAUUUCUCCGUUCCUUUCCCAAAUAAAAAAUUGGGUAUAAAAUUAUCCCCGUAUCCUCCCUGAAUGGAAAAAAUCUCUAAAAGUACCCAUCCCUAUGGGGAUUUUUGCCAUCCCUAAAAUUCCAUUGGCUUCGUGUUGCAACUCUGCAACAGAUUGUCAAAUCGACAAUGAAAUUUCUUUGUCCAUUUUUCACAUGCACAGCCAUAAAAAAGAAAAAAAAAUAUCACAAUUGUAUGUAUAUGCUGGUGGGUCCCUUUUCAAAUUUGACAAGAGGAUUUUAAUUUCUUGUGGAAUUUGUGUUACUUCAAAUCAUUUUAUAAAAAUUAGGGAUGGCAAUGGGGUGGGGAGGGGAGGGGAGGGGAGGGGAGGAGACCAAUCUCCAUGUAUCCAUUCCUGAUAUAUUGCGUAUGUCCUCGUCCCCUCCCCAUCCCCGUCAUAAUUACUUGAGAGAAUCUCAUUCUCCUCUCCGAAUAAUAACAAGGGAUCCCUAAGGGUCUCCGAUCCCCGAAUAACUAAUAUAUUUUCUUUUAUUUUGAGUUAAUUAUAUUAAAAUAAAAAAUUCAAACAAAAGUAAAGUUCGAAAUAUAUUUUACAUUAACAUUGAUCCAUUAUAAAAGUCACAUGCAAAAUAUAAAUUAUCAAAAUAAUUAUCUUUGUCAAUCUUCAUAAUCUUACAAUAAAAAGAAAAAGAAUUUACUUUUAUAUCGACAAUAAAAUAAAUGAAAUAAAUGUAGAUACUUAAUUAAUAUUUUUAAUAAAACAAAAUUAAAAUUAAAACAAAAUUUUUGGGCUAAUAGAAUCUACCCGACCUAUUUAAUGUCCUAAAUAAAAAUUUAAAACUUUAAUUAGUUAAUUAAGCCUAAAAGUUUAAUAAUAUAAAUAUUUUAAUAUUUGUUACUUUUACCAAUAUUUAUAAUUUUAUAAUAUAAUUCAAAAUUUAUUAUUUAUUUACUAGUAAUUUUAAAAAAUAAAAAUAAAAUUAAAAAUUAAAAUAGGGAAAUGGGGAGGGGAUGGGGAUUCCACCCCAUCCCCGCCCCUUUCCCAAAUAAGAAACUGGGUAAAAAAAAUUUCCCGUCUCUUCCCCGAAUAAGAAAUUGGGUAUAGAAUUAUUCUCGUACCCUCCCCGAAUGGGAAAAAUCCCCAAGCGUACCCGUCCCCGAAUGAAAAAUUGGGUAUAAAAUUUAUUCUACUUUUUCUCAUAAUUUCAUGAAGAGAAAGAAGUAUCAUAUUUGCUAUUGUUUUUGUAGAGAAAAUUUUUUGAUUAAAAUAAUAUAUUUAUACUUUUUUUAAAAGAAUUUUUUAAUUUUUUUUCCACUCUUUCAUUUACAAUAUAUAAAAGUAAAUAAAUAUUUAAAGAAUUAAAUUUAGAAGAAUAUUUUAGUGAUCCUCUUAGAUCUACUUAGUGUCUGUUUGGUAUAAUUUAUGUAAUGCUCAUAAGUAUUUAUUUAAUCUCAUAAAAUCUUAUUAUAAUUUUUGUUAUUGUUUAUUUUUUUUUAGAGAUUUUACAGUUUAAAUAAGUUAUUUUAUAUCUACUAAUAAAAUCUCAAAUUAGGAGUAGAGAUUGAAAUUUUUUUAAAUAUUAAAAUAUCUAAAAUAUUCUCUACUUAUUUAAUAUUUUUUUCAUAACAUAACUUUAAAAACUUAUCUAUUAAAAUAAUUUCAUAAAUUUUUAAUAAAAAUUUUUAUUAACAAUCAACAACUAAAAUUUUUUAAAUAAAAAAUUUAUUUAUAAAAAUUUUAUUAUCAAAAACUCUAUUUAAAUAAAUUUUAUUUAAAAAAUUAUAUUAAACCGAGCCUUACCCUCGCGAAUGGCGAUACCAUAACUAUUUUGAAGAAAUGGAAGAAUGGAAAGAAUUGAAAAGGCAAAACCGCGUUGUAAAAGAGGACGUGGAUCAACUUACCGAGGCCACUAAUGACAAAUAGCUACACAUUUUGAAGUAGACUCCCAGCGUCUACCAAACCUAAACAGGUACAGAGACCUUUUGUUUUGUUUUUGACAAUAUGUGCAGAUACGUACGAAUGCAUUAAUUAAUGAAAAGCAGAGGGUAGAAGAAAACAAAGCUACGUCGCCAGACACGUUGCAGAAGGGAUUCUGGAAUGCAUUAAUUAAGGGGUCUUAAGUAUUCAAUAGUGACUUCUUUUUUGUGUUUUUCCAUAAGAAGAUGCUGGAAUGCAUUAAUUAAGAGGCCCACUGUGAUUAAUUCAUAACUACUAGUAAUUUGUUUGUAUUCGAGUUGCUCCUUUGUAUAACUAGGCGUGAAAAUGAGUAUUUGGUGGGGUGGUGGAGUCGAGGGUGCUAAGAGCAACAAAACUAAAUUCUGAAGCAAUUGUUCUGACUCUUGAGUGCUUAUAUUUAUUUCAUUAAUCUCGGAAGAUAUGGCGUCUCAUAAGGUGCCUGGUAAUCGCAAAUUGAUAGGUGCCAAAUCAGAAUACUAUUUUAUGCUUUAUGCAGGUACUGAAGAAGUGAAGAGCUACGACCGGAUUGAUUUUGGUAUGUUUGGUCGGAGUUGGGCUCCCAUUGUUUCUUGGGCCGUGAUAGUGGUUCCCCACGAGCCGGAGAGUAAUUGGAGAAAAAAUUUACCUCCUCCAAGUGUCAAUAAUAUGGACCCCGCUAGCUCGCUUUGUGUCAUUGCAUCUGGUUCUUCUAAUGGUUAUAAGCCUAUAGGUGAUGAUAAACAUGAUCGUCCUUUUCAUGGCGUUAGAACUACAGUUCGAUUGAACAAAUUGAAAUAUGAUCGUGAAGUGUUGCGCGGAGGUUCUCUUGUUUUGGAGAUUAAUCUUCUAGAGGUUUUUUCCGGAGGAGAUGUUGUGGAUUCUGAUCAUACUUUUGAUGGUCAAGUGUUCUGGAACUUGUACUCGAAUUGAAUAUUGUACGGUGAGAUAAGUUGAUGUGUGUAUUAAUGGUAUUAUCUAAUAUAAACAUAGGAUUGGACAUAUAGUUGUGUCAAUGUAUUGUGUAAUUUAACUACCUCUAGAUAAUAUUAUCGUUUGUGUAAUGAUUGUAAUUGAUGUUUUGUUGGAGGAUCCUUUAGUAUGCUUAUAAAAAGGAUUCAAGUGUGUUGUAACGAGCAGAGCUCUUCUAAGUCUAGUCCAUAAAUAAAUAAAAGAGUUGACUAUAAUGUAAUAUUGUGGGGUCUUCUACUGUGUCUAUAAAAAGGAUCCAAGUGUGUUGUAAUAUGAGUAGAGAUUCAUGAAUUUAGUCUAUAAAUAAAUUAAACAAGUGGUUUAUAUAGUUCUUUUAUGAACAUGUAUGGUCUCAUUUCCUUCAUAAAGCAAUGUAUAGACGUAGAGAUUCAUGAAUUUAGUCUAUAAAUAAAUUAAACAAGUGUUUUAUAUAGUCCUUUUAUGAACAUGUAUGGUCUCAUUUCCUUCAUAAAGCAAUGUAUAGCCGUUGUGACAAAAUCUUAUUACUCAAGUUUACUCAUGAAUCCUUGAAUUUAGUGUAUAAAAAAAAUUAAACAAGUGUUUUAUAUAGUCCUUUUAUGAACAUGUAUGGUCUCAUUUCCUUCAAAAAGCAAUGUAUAGCCGUUGUGACAAAAUCUUAUUACUCAAGUUUACUCAUGAAUCCUUUACACAAAUGUAUAGCGGUUGUGACAAAACCUUAUUACUCAAGUUUACUCAUGAAUCCUUUACACAAAUGUUACAAAUGUAUAAUAACAAAAUUGAAAAGUCAUUUUCACACGUUACAAAUAUAUACUAACAAAACUGAAAUAACAUUAUUACAAGUUAGAACAAUAUGUAAUAACAAAAAAUAAAUAAAUAAACUCGAGGCUUGUAAAGUUAAUAGUUUAUUUAAAACAAAUUCGCAUCUUUUCAAUGGUGCUUAAUUUAUAUCAAUCUCUGUCUUUCAAGAUGCAACGGAUUCGAAUAGUCUCAUGAGCACAAUCAUACUAUUCUAUCAAAUUUGAAACUAGUGUUUGAACUAAAAUCAGAGAAAAUUUGUUUCAGAUAGAAGAAGGAAAUGUCACUUCAAUUUUGUGUGUUUUGCAAAUAAAAUUAGAAACCAAUUUAUAGAAUUUUUGGAGGACAUUUUGGUAUAGAAAAAUUAGGCAGUAACUAUUGAAUUUAAUACUUAAAUAAAAUCUAUAACAAAAGCAUUUGUUUACCUUCAAUCACUUGUAAUAUAAAGCCAAAUUUUUCCUUCAAAAUUAGCCAUAUACAUCACUUAACAGCCCUUUAAUCUCUUGCUAUUAAGAUCAAUAUCAAUAUCAAAUAUUGAUAUUGCUUUUACCCUUUACAGUUUUAGUUUUAAUUCAAUGCAAUUAUAGUGCAAUAAAAAGAAAAUUAAAGGAUAAAAAACACCUUUAAUCUUUUCCAAACCAAUGGGUGAUAAGCACUAAUUUGAAUUUUCUAUUAUUCGUCCUAAAGAUCUCACGAAGGAGAUUCUGAAUCAUUCAUGCAAGAAUAUUUCCUCAAUAGACAUCUAACUCAAAAUUAGCCUUCAAAUAAUUGAAUGCUUAUUUAAUUCCUAUAUUUUAACUUAAAUAUCCGUUUAGUCUCAUAUUAUAAAAUAUAUCUCAAAAUACCCAUGUAUAUUUUGGUUUUAUGAUAAUACCCUUCAAAUAAUAUUCUUGACAUGAAUUAAUUAUCUAUAAAAUAUUAAUUAGCAUCUUAACCAAUAAUUAAUUAUUAGCAAAUUAAUUAACAAAUAUCAGGAGUGAAAGAACUAAUAUUUCCUGUACCCUU